CCUACGGGUGGCUGCAGUGAGGAAUAUUGGACAAUGGGCGCAAGCCUGAUCCAGCCAUGCCGCGUGCAGGAUGACGGUCCUAUGGAUUGUAAACUGCUUUUGUACGGGAAGAAACACCGGUUCGUGAACCGGCUUGACGGUACCGUAAGAAUAAGGAUCGGCUAACUCCGUGCCAGCAGCCGCGGUAAUACGGAGGAUCCAAGCGUUAUCCGGAAUCAUUGGGUUUAAAGGGUCCGUAGGCGGUUUUAUAAGUCAGUGGUGAAAUCCGGCAGCUC
rnacentral:rRNA from 1 species